rnacentral:lncRNA from 1 species
GGUAAACAGGCUCUGUAUCCGUGGCAGCGGCCGUGGCAGGCUGGCUGGGUACCGGCUGUCGCUGACCCAGGAGAAGCUGCCUGUCUACAUCAGCCUGGGCUGCAGCGCGCUGCCGCCGCGGGGCCGGCAGCUGAACUAUGUGCUCUUCAGGGCGGGCACCGUGUUGCAUUCAUCUUUGUACCCCCAGCAUCUAGCAGUGUUGGCAUGUAGUAGGCACUCAAGAAAUGUGUGUUGAAUGAACGAUGCCUGUGACAAGCAAGCGGACUUUAUUCUUUCCUGACCCUUGCUCCUAUGACACACCUCCUCCUGACUGCCACUGUCACUCCUUCAGAGCAGAACUCCUCUAGGGAACCUGGAUGGGAAACAGAGUCUUGCUGUGUCACCCAGGCUGGAGUGCACUGGUGC